CCCUUAGAUGUCCUGGGCCGCACGCGCGCUACACUGGCAUGUUCAACAAGCCUCCUAGUUCGACAGGAUUUGGGAAAUCUUUGAACGCAUGUCGUGAUAGGGAUAGAUCAUUGCAAUUAUUGAUCUUGAACGAGGAAUUCCUAGUAAACGCGAGUCAUCAGCUCGCAUUGAUUACGUCCCUGCCCUUUGUACACACCGCCCGUCGCACCUACCGAUUGAAUGUUUCGGUGAAGAUUCCGGAUAGGACUUUUUUGAUUUAUUUCAAUUCUGUCUUAAAAGCUAUCUAAACCUCAACAUUUAGAGGAAGGUGAAGUCGUAACA
rnacentral:rRNA from 1 species